rnacentral:rRNA from 1 species
UACGUAGGGUGCAAGCGUUAUCCGGAAUUAUUGGGCGUAAAGAGCUCGUAGGCGGUUUGUCGCGUCUGCUGUGAAAACUGGAGGCUCAACCUCCAGCCUGCAGUGGGUACGGGCAGACUAGAGUGCGGUAGGGGAGAUUGGAAUUCCUGGUGUAGCGGUGGAAUGCGCCGAUAUCAGGAGGAACACCGAUGGCGAAGGCAGAUCUCUGGGCCGUAACUGACGCUGAGGAGCGAAAGCAUGGGGAGCGAACAGG